rnacentral:rRNA from 1 species
UACGGAGGGUGCGAGCGUUGUCCGGAAUCACUGGGCGUAAAGGGCGCGUAGGCGGCCUGAUAAGUAGGGGGUGAAAUCCUGCGGCUUAACCGCAGGGCUGCCUUCUAAACUGUCAGGCUUGAGCACAGUAGAGGCAGGUGGAAUUCCCGGUGUAGCGGUGGAAUGCGUAGAGAUCCGGAAGAACACCGGUGGCGAAGGCGGCCUGCUGGGCAGUUGCUGACACUGAGGCGCGACAGCGUGGGGAGCAAACAGG